CCCUCAUCCUGCCACGUGUCAACAGUGAGAAGAAACCAACCCCACUCACCUUUCAGGGAUUUGAAGAGAGCAAUAAGGAAAAAAAGAAAAAAAAGAAAGAAAGAAAGGAAGAAAAAAAAACACAGGAAAAAGAGAUUACCAGUGAUAUCCUGUAAAACUGAAAUAAAGCCUUUUUCAGUGCUACAUAAUCCAAGGAAAAAUAUCAUUCCUGCUUUUGAAAUUCCUGGACAUAUCCUAGGAGUGCUGUUCCAGAGCCUGAAGGAUUGCAACCACACAAAAUAAAAUGACUAGAAAGUGUAAAGAGGUCUCAGUAACAUGGGGGAAGCUGGAGAAGUAGCAGAGCACAGAUGCUGAAAAAGAAUAACAGGAAAAAGACAGUCCAACUACCAUGGGAUGGACAGACAGGGUAAUGAAGGAUUAGAGUGUUCUCUUGGAAGUUUUCUAACAGGCACCGUGGUAUAUACUGAAGACUGAUCUACUUGGAAGUGAUGAUGAUGAUGAUGAUAAUAACAAAUAUUUUAGUUAUAUUAUUUUUGAUCUAACCUCCUCUGUUUAAGAAUGUUAAUUUUUUAGUAUGUAUGCUAAAAACAUCUGUCACCUCAAAACUCUUGUUUAUUCAGUCUUUUUUAUUUAUAGACAGUUGUAAAGUAGGUGUUGAAAGGAAUCCAAGAAGGCCAUACAGUUGAUACCCCUCUAGCCAAAGUUAAAAUCAAAUAUAACUAAACCAUUUUUUAUAUUUUUCUAAAUUACUGUUAAAAAAAAAUGUUAUCAAUGCAUAUAUGAUUACUUUCCUAAAGUUGUAAAUUCUUACCUUUACCUUACAAAUAUUUUUCAUAUAACUUAAGUGCAUAUUAACCUUAUUAUGUAUCACUCUGUUCAUAAAAAAACAUAAAACACAGCUUUUUCUUUUCACUUUAACUGUCUUUUUAUUUAUUGUUAGUUUUUGAAGGUGUAUUUAUCACAUUAAUAUUCCUUUAUCUAUUAAGUAUGCCUUGAUUUUUCUUCAGAAGUUGUUAGAUUUUUAUGAUCAUUAUUGUUGUUCAUUCUAAAGACUUUUCAGUUAUUGUACAUGCAAGAAAUUAACAUAAUAUUCUAGUUCCAACUUAUAAAUAAUGCUUCUCUGUUUUCAUGUGUACAGAUGUAUAUUAGUAUGUGAAUAUAUUCAAGAGUGCUCACAAUAAAAAAUUAAGAGCU
rnacentral:lncRNA from 1 species